GCGGCGCGCCUAACACAUGCAAGUCGAACGAGCGAGAGAGAGCUUGCUUUCUCGAGCGAGUGGCGAACGGGUGAGUAACGCGUGAGGAACCUGCCUCAAAGAGGGGGACAACAGUUGGAAACGACUGCUAAUACCGCAUAAGCCCACGGCUCGGCAUCGAGCAGAGGGAAAAGGAGCAAUCCGCUUUGAGAUGGCCUCGCGUCCGAUUAGCUAGUUGGUGAGGUAAUGGCCCACCAAGGCGACGAUCGGUAGCCGGACUGAGAGGUUGAACGGCCACAUUGGGACUGAGACACGGCCCACACUCCUACGGGAGGCAGCAGUGGGGAAUAUUGCACAAUGGGGGAAACCCUGAUGCAGCGACGCCGCGUGGAGGAAGAAGGUCUUCGGAUUGUAAACUCCUGUUGUUGAGGAAGAUAAUGACGGUACUCAACAUGGAAGUGACGGCUAACUACGUGCCAGCAGCCGCGGUAAAACGUAGGUCACAAGCGUUGUCCGGAAUUACUGGGUGUAAAGGGAGCGCAGGCGGGAAGACAAGUUGGAAGUGAAAUCCAUGGGCUCAACCCAUGAACUGCUUUCAAAACUGUUUUUCUUGAGUAGUGCAGAGGUAGGCGGAAUUCCCGGUGUAGCGGUGGAAUGCGUAGAUAUCGGGAGGAACACCAGUGGCGAAGGCGGCCUACUGGGCACCAACUGACGCUGAGGCUCGAAAGUGUGGGUAGCACACAAGGGUAGAUACCCUGGUAGUCCCCCCCGUAAACGACCCUUAAUGGGUGUUGGAGGAUGGACCCCUUCAGUGCCGCAGUUACCCCAAUAAUUAAUCCACCUGGGGAGUACGCCCGCAAGGUGAAAACUCAAAGGAAUGACGGGGGGCCCGCACAAGCAGUGGAGUAUGUGGUUUAAUUGGACGCAACGCGAAGAACCUUACCAAGUCUUGACAUCCCUUGACGAUGCUGGAAACAGUAUUUCUCUUCGGAGCAAGGAGACAGGUGGUGCAUGGUUGUCGUCAGCUCGUGUCGUGAGAUGUUGGGUUAAGUCCCGCAACGAGCGCAACCCUUAUGGUCAGUUACUACGCAAGAGGACUCUGGCCAGACUGCCGUUGACAAAACGGAGGAAGGUGGGGAUGACGUCAAAUCAUCAUGCCCUUUAUGACUUGGGCUACACACGUACUACAAUGGCGUUAAACAAAGAGAAGCAAGACCGCGAGGUGGAGCAAAACUCAGAAACAACGUCCCAGUUCGGACUGCAGGCUGCAACUCGCCUGCACGAAGUCGGAAUUGCUAGUAAUCGCAGAUCAGCAUGCUGCGGUGAAUACGUUCCCGGGCCUUGCACU
rnacentral:rRNA from 1 species